UACGUAGGGGGCAAGCGUUGUCCGGAAUCAUUGGGCGUAAAGAGCGUGUAGGCGGCUUGGUAAGUCCGCUGUGAAAGCCCAGGGCUCAACCCUGGAAAGCCGGUGGAAACUGUCAAGCUUGAGUCCGGAAGAGGCGAGUGGAAUUCCUGGUGUAGCGGUGAAAUGCGCAGAUAUCAGGAAGAACACCCGUGGCUAAGGCGGCUCUCUAGUACGGUACUGACGCUGAGACGCGAAAGCGUGGGGAGCGAACAGG
rnacentral:rRNA from 1 species